GGGCGUGUGGCGUAGUGGUAUCGCGUUUGCUUCGCAUCAACAUCGGAAAUCCGAUGGCGUCUGUAAAAGGUCACCGGUUCGAUCCCGGUCACGUCCA
rnacentral:tRNA from 1 species